rnacentral:rRNA from 1 species
GGAUAACCUACCCUUAGGACCGGGAUAACCUUGGGAAACUGAGGAUAAUACUGGAUAGGCAAUUUUUCCUGUAAUGGUUUUUUGUUUAAAUGUUUUUUCGCCUAAGGAUGGGUCUGCGGCCGAUUAGGUAGUUGGUUAGGUAACGGCUUACCAAGCCGUUGAUCGGUACGGGUUGUGAGAGCAAGAGCCCGGAGAUGGAACCUGAGACAAGGUUCCAGGCCCUACGGGGUGCAGCAGGCGCGAAACCUCCGCAAUGUGAGAAAUCGCGACGGGGGGAUCCCAAGUGCCAUUCUUAACGGGAUGGCUUUUCAUUAGUGUAAAAAGCUUUUGGAAUAAGAGCUGGGCAAGACCGGUGCCAGCCGCCGCGGUAACACCGGCAGCUCUAGUGGUAGCAAUUUUUAUUGGGCCUAAAGCGUCCGUAGCCGGUUUAAUAAGUCUCUGGUGAAAUCCUGUAGCUUAACUGU